UAAGUGAAUGCCAAAGGCACCUAUCUGUUAAUUAGGCCCAUGUUUUAUAAACUCACUUAG
rnacentral:tRNA from 1 species